CUGCGCCUAGGGAGGCAGCAGUGGGGGAUAUUGCACAAUGGGGGAAACCCUGGUGCAGCGCCGCCGCGUGUAGGAAGACGGUCCUCUGGAUUGUAAACUACUGUCCCCAGGGACGAAGAUGACGGUACCUGGGGAGGAAGCUCCGGCUAACUACGUGCCAGCAGCCGCGGUAAUACGUAGGGAGCGAGCGUUGUCCGGAAUUACUGGGUGUAAAGGGAGCGUAGGCGGGGAUGCAAGGUGGGGGUUAAAUCUACCGGCGCAACUGGUAGUCGCACUCAA
rnacentral:rRNA from 1 species